rnacentral:rRNA from 1 species
AUUGAACGCUGGCGGCAUGCUUUACACAUGCAAGUCGAACGGCAGCGGGGGCUUCGGCCUGCCGGCGAGUGGCGAACGGGUGAGUAAUGCAUCGGAACGUGCCCAGUCAUGGGGGAUAACUACGCGAAAGCGUAGCUAAUACCGCAUACGCCCUGAGGGGGAAAGCGGGGGAUCGCAAGACCUCGCGUGAUUGGAGCGGCCGAUGUCGGAUUAGCUAGUUGGUGGGGUAAAGGCCUACCAAGGCGACGAUCCGUAGCGGGUCUGAGAGGAUGAUCCGCCACACUGGGACUGAGACACGGCCCAGACUCCUACGGGAGGCAGCAGUGGGGAAUUUUGGACAAUGGGGGGCAACCCUGAUCCAGCCAUGCCGCGUGAGUGAAGAAGG